rnacentral:rRNA from 1 species
UACGAAGGGGGCUAGCGUUGCUCGGAAUUACUGGGCGUAAAGGGCGCGUAGGCGGCACUGUUAGUCAGGCGUGAAAGUCCUGGGCUCAACCUGGGAACUGCGCUUGAUACGGCAGAGCUAGAGGAUGGAAGAGGCUCGCGGAAUUCCAGGUGUAGCGGUGAAAUGCGUAGAUAUCUGGAGGAACACCGGUGGCGAAGGCGGCAUCCUGGACCGGCAUUGACGCUGAGGCGCGAAAGCUAGGGGAGCAAACGGG